UAUGUAGUCCCUCCGUUCGGAAUUACUUGUCGUAGAAAUGGAUGUAUCUAGAUGUAUUUUAGUUCUAGAUACAUCCAUUUUCGAGACAAGUAAUUCCGAACGGAGGGAGUAGCAG
rnacentral:pre_miRNA from 1 species